UGGGGAAUAUUGGACAAUGGGCGAAAGCCUGAUCCAGCAAUGCCGCGUGAGUGAUGAAGGCCUUAGGGUUGUAAAGCUCUUUUACCCGGGAUGAUAAUGACAGUACCGGGAGAAUAAGCUCCGGCUAACUCCGUGCCAGCAGCCGCGGUAAUACGGAGGGAGCUAGCGUUGUUCGGAAUUACUGGGCGUAAAGCGCACGUAGGCGGCUUAUCAAGUCAGGGGUGAAAUCCCGGGGCUCAACCCCGGAACUGCCUUUGAUACUUCUGGUCUCGAGUCCGAGAGAGGUGAGUGGAAUUCCGAGUGUAGAGGUGAAAUUCGUAGAUAUUCGGAGGAACACCAGUGGCGAAGGCGGCUCACUGGCUCGGUACUGACGCUGAGGUGCGAAAGCGUGGGGAGCAAACAGGAUUAGAUACCCGCGUAGUCC
rnacentral:rRNA from 1 species